rnacentral:rRNA from 1 species
AGUGAACGCUGGCGGUAGGCCUAACACAUGCAAGUCGAACGGCAGCACAGUAAGAGCUUGCUCUUACGGGUGGCGAGUGGCGGACGGGUGAGGAAUACAUCGGAAUCUACUUUUUCGUGGGGGAUAACGUAGGGAAACUUACGCUAAUACCGCAUACGACCUACGGGUGAAAGCAGGGGAUCUUCGGACCUUGCGCGAUUGAAUGAGCCGAUGUCGGAUUAGCUAGUUGGCGGGGUAAAGGCCCACCAAGGCGACGAUCCGUAGCUGGUCUGAGAGGAUGAUCAGCCACACUGGACCUGAGACACGGUCCAGACUCCUACGGGAGGCAGCAGUGGGGAAUAUUGGACAAUGGGCGCAAGCCUGAUCCAGCCAUACCGCGUGGGUGAAGAAGGCCUUCGGGUUGUAAAGCCCUUUUGUUGGGAAAGAAAAGCAGCAGGUUAAUACCCCGCUGUUCUGACGGGACCCAAAGAAUAAGCACCGGCUAACUUCGU